AUGGUAAAACAAAAAAAAAAGAGCUUACAAUUUUUCAUCCACGGCAACACUUGUGAAAAUAGAAUUGCUGCAGAGUGUGCCAAUGAAAAACGCCACUGUGGAGUGUGCCAAAAGCAGAUUUGCCUGUCUACUUCUUGCAAUGUCAAAGAUGGUUUUAAGGUAUACGCUACACACUUAAAUGUACAUUAUCAUGUUUAUUUUUGUCGAAGGAGUUUGCUUUCACCGAUAGCCCAGUUGGAUUGA